CUGGGGAGUACGGUCGCAAGACUGAAACUCAAAGGAAUUGACGGGGGCCCGCACAAGCGGUGGAGCAUGUGGUUUAAUUCGACGCAACCCGAAGAACCUUACCAGGGCUUGACAUCCCGUGACAGUCAUAGAGAUAUGGCCUCCCGUUUUAUAACGGGCACGGAGACAGGUGGUGCAUGGUUGUCGUCAGCUCGUGUCGUGAGAUGUUGGGUUAAGUCCCGCAACGAGCGCAACCCCUAUCUCUAGUUGCCAGCACGUGAAGGUGGGCACUCUAGAGAGACUGCCGUUGACAAAACGGAGGAAGGUGGGGAUGACGUCAAAUCAUCAUGCCCCUUAUGUCCUGGGCUACACACGUGCUACAAUGGCCGGUACAGAGGGCAGCUAAGUCGCGAGGCGGAGCAAAUCCCUUAAAGCCGGUCCUAGUUCGGAUUGCAGGCUGCAACUCGCCUGCAUGAAGGCGGAAUCGCUAGUAAUCGCAGGUCAGCAAACUGCGGUGAAUACGUUCCCGGGCCUUGUACACACCGCCCGUCACACCACGAAAGCCGACAACACCCGAAGCCGGUGAGCUAACCCUUCUCGAGGUUCGAGGCUCGAAGUUAGAAGUUCGAAUUUGGGUCAAGUUUCAGGGUCAAAAGACCUAAAAGAAUACCCGGACCGAAUCUCGAACAUCGAAUUUCGAACCUCGAGAACGGAGGCAGCCGUCGAAGGUGGGGUUGGUAAUUGGGGUGAAGUCGUAACAAGGUAACCGU
rnacentral:rRNA from 1 species